rnacentral:rRNA from 1 species
UACGUAGGGUGCAAGCGUUGUCCGGAAUUAUUGGGCGUAAAGAGCUCGUAGGCGGUCUGUCGCGUCGGAUGUGAAAACCCAGGGCUCAACCCUGGGCCUGCAUUCGAUACGGGCAGACUAGAGUUCGGUAGGGAAGACUGGAAUUCCUGGUGUAGCGGUGAAAUGCGCAGAUAUCAGGAGGAACACCGGUGGCGAAGGCGGGUCUCUGGGCCGAAACUGACGCUGAGGAGCGAAAGCGUGGGGAGCAAACAGG